UGGGGAAUAUUGCACAAUGGGCGCAAGCCUGAUGCAGCGACGCCGCGUGAAGGAUGAAGGUCUUUGGAUUGUAAACUUCUUUGACGAGGGACGAAAUUUGACGGUACCUCGAAAACAAGCCACGGCUAACUACGUGCCAGCAGCCGCGGUAAUACGUAGGUGGCAAGCGUUGUCCGGAUUUACUGGGUGUAAAGGGCGUGUAGGCGGGUGGAUAAGUUAUUAGUAAAAGGCUAAGGCUCAACCUUGGUAAGCUAGUAAAACUGUUCAUCUUGAGUAUCGGAGAGGAAAGCGGAAUUCCCAGUGUAGCGGUGAAAUGCGUAGAUAUUGGGAGGAACACCAGUGGCGAAGGCGGCUUUCUGGACGACAACUGACGCUGAGGCGCGAAAGCGUGGGGAGCAAACA
rnacentral:rRNA from 1 species